UGGUGUACAGGUGGUGCAUGGUUGUCGUCAGCUCGUGUCGUGAGAUGUUGGGUUAAGUCCCGCAACGAGCGCAACCCUUGUCUUAUGUUGCCAGCACGUGAUGGUGGGGACUCAUGAGAGACUGCCGGGGUUAACUCGGAGGAAGGUGGGGAUGACGUCAAAUCAUCAUGCCCCUUAUGUCCAGGGCUUCACACAUGCUACAAUGGUCGGUACAACGCGUGUGCGACACUGUGAGGUGAAGCUAAUCGCUCUAAAGCCGGUCGUAGUUCGGAUUGGGGUCUGCAACUCGACCCCAUGAAGUCGGAGUCGCUAGUAAUCGCAGAUCAGCAACGCUGCGGUGAAUACGUUCCCGGGCCUUGUACACACCGCCCGUCACGUCAUGAAAGUUGGUAACACCCGAAGCCAGUGGCCUAAACCUGUUAGGGAGCUGUCGAAGGUGGGAUCGGCGAUUGGGACGAAGUCGUAACAAGGUAGCCGUACCGGAAGGUGCGGCUGGAUCACCUCCUUUCUAAGGAG
rnacentral:rRNA from 1 species